AUUGAACGCUGGCGGCAUGCCUUACACAUGCAAGUCGAACGGUAACAGGUCUUCGGAUGCUGACGAGUGGCGAACGGGGGAGGAAUACAUCGGAACGUGCCCGAACGUGGGGGAUAACGAAGCGAAAGCUUGGCUAAUACAGCAUACGAUCUACGGAGGAAAGCGGGGGAAAGUCGGAGCUCGCGGGGACGGGGCGGCCGAUGGCAGAUUAGGUAGUUGGUGGGAUAAAAGCUUACCAAGCCGACGAUCUGUAGCUGGUCUGAGAGGAUGAUCAGCCACACUGGGACUGAGACACGGCCCAGACUCCUACGGGAGGCAGCAGUGGGGAAUUUUGGACAAUGGGCGCAAGCCUGAUCCAGCCAUGCCGCGUGCAGGAUGAAGGCCUUCGGGUUGUAAACUGCUUUUGUACGGAACGAAAAGGUGCCUUCUAAUACAGGGCGCUCAUGACGGUACCGUAAGAAUAAGCACCGGCUAACUACGUG
rnacentral:rRNA from 1 species